GUCUUGGACGCCACCCCCACCUCUAAAACAUUUAAAGUUUCGGUCUGUUUUAACAAAAAUGAUAGAAGCAAAUCGGUUCUUUGGCACUUACAAUUUUACUGAGAUCCAUGUUGAUCCCAGGGAACGGUGCGUAAGGAUCCUCGGAGCCGGAGAGGACGUCCGCUGGCUUUAUCCUAACGCGGAGUAAUUAGUAACGGGAAGGCGUUUGAGGCAACAAACGCAUUUGGGAGGAGAAGAAGUGGAAGAAAAAGAAGAAGAAGAAGAAGGGGGUGGGGUGGAGCGGACCCUUAGCUCAACAUGUGUCCCGAUUUGGUAUAAAAAUGCUCCUCAAUCCUUCCCUCCUUUCGCGUCCUUUCUCUUCUUCUCUGCGCGCUUUACGUGCUGUCUUAUCGGCGAGGACUUCCAGCAUCUGCCCGCCGACAAGCUGCAGCUGUCCGGGGGGAAACAGACAGAGCCCGCGCUGAUAUUACCUGCUCAUUUUUCAUUUAGAAUAUCACCCUGUUCAGCCUGAACGUAUCAGCCCUACAUAGCCACUACAACCAAGUCAGUUGGCUGCCUUUAUUUUGCAAAUAGCCCGCUCUCGUGUUAGACAAUAGUAGCAUGGAGCCUGCAGAGUGGGAUGGCUCAAACCCGGUGGUUCCCAAACUAGGGUCCAGGGACCACCGGGGGUCCUUGGGGAAGGGCGGUAAUGGACAGAUGGAGGGGGUGUGUCUGUGCAUUGGAAAACAGAUGAAACCUUGAAAGGAGCAGCUCAGCCUCCACCAUGAUGCACUUUUAGGUAACUGAUGCCCCCAUCUGGUUUCUGUGAGACCGUCCACCAACACAUCACCCCUGCCUUAGAGGAAAUACAGAUGUGUUUGAUGGAGCUGAAUUAAGGUAUCUAUAUUCCCAUAUUCAUGUAAUAUUCUUCAUAUUCUCAAACUUUACCAUGCAAGUUCAAAACUAUGACAGACGACUGUAUAAGCAAACAUCUGUGCUGUUCUACACCUAUUAAUUGAAGUCGUGUCAUAGUUGUAACAAAUAAAUGAAUACAUUAGCCA